UACGUAGGGUGCGAGCGUUGUCCGGAAUUAUUGGGCGUAAAGAGCUCGUAGGCGGUGUGUCACGUCGGCCGUGAAAACCUGCAGCUUAACUGUGGGCGUGCGGUCGAUACGGGCAUCACUGGAGUUCGGCAGGGGAGACUGGAAUUCCUGGUGUAGCGGUGAAAUGCGCAGAUAUCAGGAGGAACACCGGUGGCGAAGGCGGGUCUCUGGGCCGAUACUGACGCUGGAGGAGCGAAAGCUGGGGGAGCGAACGGG
rnacentral:rRNA from 1 species